UGGCUCAGUGGUAGAGCGCUUGCCUUGCAUGCAUGAGGCUCUGGGUUUGAUUCCUCAG
rnacentral:tRNA from 1 species